rnacentral:rRNA from 1 species
UAUAUUAAAGUUGCUGCGGUUAAAAAGCUCGUAGUUGGAUCUCAGUUCUGGACCGACGGUUCGCCUCUGGUGAUUUACUGUCGGUCCAAACAGAUCGUCGGCUCGCACGGGGUGCUCUUCAUCGAGUGUCCCGCGUGGCUGGCAUGUUUACUUUGAAAAAAUUAGAGUGCUCAAAGCAGGCUAUCGCCUGAAUAGUUGUGCAUGGAAUGAUGGAAUAGGACCUCGGUUCUAUUUUGUUGGUUCUAGGAACCCGAGGUAAUGAUUAAAAGAGACGGACGGGGGCAUUCGUAUUGCGACGCUAGAGGUGAAAUUCUUGGACCGUCGCAAGACGAACUACUGCGAAAGCAUUUGCCAAGUACGUUCUCAUUAAUCAAGAACGAAAGUUAGAGGUUCGAAGGCGAUCAGAUACCGCCCUAGUUCUAACUGUAAACUUUGCUGACUAGCGAUCCGUCUGUGUUAAUCCCAUGACUAGGCGGGCAGCUUCCGGGAAACCAAAGUCUUUGAGUUCCGGGGGAAGUAUGGUUGCAAAGCUGAAACUUAAAGGAAUUGACGGAAGGGCACCACCAGGAGUGGAGCCUGCGGCUUAAUUUGACUCAACACGGGGAACCUCACCAGGCCCGGACACCGGAAGGAUUGACAGAUUGAGAGCUCUUUCUUGAUUCGGUGGGUGGUGGUGCAUGGCCGUUCUUAGUUGGUGGAGCGAUUUGUCUGGUUAAUUCCGAUAACGAACGAGACUCUAGCCUGCUAACUAGUCGGAGGGUUUAAUACAAUUGCCCUCCGCAGCUUCUUAGAGGGAUAAGCGGCAUCUAGCCGC